rnacentral:rRNA from 1 species
UGAAAAAAUUAGAGUGUUCAAAGCAGGCCUAUGCCCGAAUACAUUAGCAUGGAAUAAUAGAAUAGGACGUGCGGUUCUAUUUUGUUGGUUUCUAGGAUCGCCGUAAUGAUUAAUAGGGAUAGUUGGGGGCAUUAGUAUUCAGUUGCUAGAGGUGAAAUUCUUGGAUUUACUGAAGACUAACUACUGCGAAAGCAUUUGCCAAGGA